AACGAACGCUGGCGGCAGGCCUAACACAUGCAAGUCGAGCGGGGACUUCGGUCCUAGCGGCGGACGGGUGAGUAACGCGUGGGAACGUGCCCUUUGCUUCGGAAUAGCCCCUGGAAACGGGGAGUAAUACCGGAUGUGCCCUUUGGGGGAAAGAUUUAUCGGCAAAGGAUCGGCCCGCGUUGGAUUAGGUAGUUGGUGGGGUAAUGGCCUACCAAGCCGACGAUCCAUAGCUGGUUUGAGAGGAUGAUCAGCCACACUGGGACUGAGACACGGCCCAGACUCCUACGGGAGGCAGCAGUGGGGAAUCUUAGACAAUGGGCGCAAGCCUGAUCUAGCCAUGCCGCGUGAGCGAUGAAGGCCUUAGGGUUGUAAAGCUCUUUCGUGGGGGGAAGAUAAUGACGGUACCCCAAGAAGAAGCCCCGGCUAAACUCCGUGCCAGCAGCCGCGGUAAU
rnacentral:rRNA from 1 species